GCAAACUUCCUCGGGUCAUGG
rnacentral:miRNA from 2 species